UAACGUUUCGAUUGUUUGUCGUUUGAUAGCAAUACUCUAUCUUAAUUAUAAUGUAGAAUGAUUGUUAUUACGUUUAUAGCAACAGGAACGCUUUUUUCACGAUGUGGCACAUGAGGCAGGGUAUGGAAUCAAUUAUUACAUAUCUCAGCUUCUCACUCUGCAAUCGAGAAGAUUCGUAAGAUCCGUAAGUGUUAUCGCUGUAAAUAUAAUGUAUACAGAUAUCAUUUUUUUUACAGAUCUAAAUAAAUAUAGUUAAUUGUUUUGUUUUUUCCUCGCGCUCUGUUACUCUAUACCUAUAGCAGGUAGGGUUAGCUG